GACGAACCGUGCGAACGUUGUUCGGAAUCACUGGGCUUAAAGGGCGCGUAGGCGGUUUCUCAAGUCCGGGGUGAAAGCUUUCGGCUUAACCGGAAAAGGGCCUUGGAUACUGAGAAGCUGGAGGGAGGUAGGGGCCGUUGGAACUUCCAGUGGAGCGGUGAAAUGCGUAGAGAUCUGGAAGAACACCAAAGGCGAAGGCAGCGUCCUGGCGAGUCACUGACGCUCAGGUGCGAAAGCUAGGGGAGCGAACGGG
rnacentral:rRNA from 1 species